rnacentral:rRNA from 1 species
UACAGAGGGUGCAAGCGUUAAUCGGAAUUACUGGGCGUAAAGCGUGCGCAGGCGGUUUCGCAAGUCAGAUGUGAAAUCCCCGGGCCCAACCUGGGCACUGCAGUUGGAACUGGCAAGCUAGAGUAGGGUAGAGGGGUGUGGAAUUCCAGGUGUAGCGGUGAAAUGCGUAGAUAUCUGGAGGAACAUCAGUGGCGAAGGCGACACCCUGGACUCAUACUGACACUGAGGUGCGAAAGCGUGGGGAGCAAACAGG